CGGCGUGCCUAACACAUGCAAGUCGUACGAGAAAGUUGGCUUCGGCCGAUGAGUAAAGUGGCGCACGGGUGAGUAAUGCGUGGAUAAUCUGCCCUUUAGUUGGGAAUAACGUACCGAAAGGUGCGCUAAUACCUGAUAAUACUGCAUAACUACUGUUGUGUAGUCAAAGAAGGCCUCUGUUUACAGGCUUUUGCUGAAGGAUGAGUCCGCGUACCAUUAGCUGGUUGGUGGGGUAAUGGCCUACCAAGGCUACGAUGGUUAGCUGGUCUGAGAGGAUGAUCAGCCACACUGGAACUGAGACACGGUCCAGACUCCUACGGGAGGCAGCAGUGAGGAAUAUUGCGCAAUGGGGGCAACCCUGACGCAGCAACGCCGCGUGAGUGAGGAAGGUUUUCGGACCGUAAAGCUCUGUCGAGCGGGAAGAAAUGCAUGGUGGCUAAUAUCCAUCAUGCUUGACGGUACCGCUAAAGGAAGCACCGGCUAACUCCGUG
rnacentral:rRNA from 1 species